UACGAAGGGGGCUAGCGUUGUUCGGAAUCACUGGGCGUAAAGCGCAUGUAGGCGGGUCUUUAAGUCAGGGGUGAAAUGCCAAGGCUCAACCUUGGAACUGCCUUUGAUACUGGAGACCUUGAGUCCGGGAGAGGUGAGUGGAACUGCGAGUGUAGAGGUGAAAUUCGUAGAUAUUCGCAAGAACACCAGUGGCGAAGGCGGCUCACUGGCCCGGUACUGACGCUGAUAUGCGAAAGCGUGGGGAGCAAACAGG
rnacentral:rRNA from 1 species